ACGGGGGGUGCAAGCGUUGUUCGGAUUUAUUGGGUGUAAAGAGUGUGCAGGCGGAUGAAUAAGUCAGAUGUGAAAUAUUUCGGCUUAACUGGAAUCGUGCCUUUGAUACUAUUCAGCUAGAGUAGAAUUGACGAGACUGGAAUUUCAUGUGUAGAGGUGAAAUUCUUAGAUAUCACCAAGAACGCCAAUCGUGAAGACAGGUUACUAAAUCAUUACUGACGCUCAUACUCGAGAGCGUGGGUAUCAAACAG
rnacentral:rRNA from 1 species